GCCCGGAUAGCUCAGCUGGUUAGAGCGCUCGGCUGUGGACCGAGAAGUCCCGGGUUCGAAUCCCGGUCCGGGCC
rnacentral:tRNA from 2 species